rnacentral:rRNA from 1 species
UGAGCAAUCUGCCCUUCUCAUCGGAAUAAGCGUUGGAAACGACGUCUAAUGCCGAAUACGACCUCCUUUCGCAUGAUCGGAGGUGGAAAGCUCCGGCGGAGAAGGAUGAGCUCGCGGCCUAUCAGCUAGUUGGUGUGGGUAACGGCCCACCAAGGCGACGACGGGUAGCCGGCCUGAGAGGGUGACCGGCCACACUGGGACUGAGACACGGCCCAGACCCCCGUACGGGAGGCAGCAGG